GACGAACGCUGGCGGCGUGCUUAACACAUGCAAGUCGAACGGAAAGGCCCUGCUUUUGUGGGGUGCUCGAGUGGCGAACGGGUGAGUAACACGUGAGUAACCUGCCCUUGACUUUGGGAUAACUUCAGGAAACUGGGGCUAAUACCGGAUAGGAGCUCCUGCUGCAUGGUGGGGGUUGGAAAGUUUCGGCGGUUGGGGAUGGACUCGCGGCUUAUCAGCUUGUUGGUGGGGUAGUGGCUUACCAAGGCUUUGACGGGUAGCCGGCCUGAGAGGGUGACCGGCCACGUUGGGACUGAGAUGCGGCCCAGACUCCUGCGGGAGGCAGCAGUGGGGAAUGUGCACAAUGGGCGGAAGCCUGAUGCAGCAACGCCGCGUGCGGGAUGACGGCCUUCGGGUUGUAAACCGCUUUCGCCUGUGACGAAGCGUGAGUGACGGUAAUGGGUAAAGAAGCACCGGCUAACUACG
rnacentral:rRNA from 1 species